rnacentral:lncRNA from 1 species
AAUUCAAUUUCUAUUUGAAUAAGCUUUGGAAAACAAAAUAGAAAAUAAAAAAGAAAAGGAAAAGGUGUUUGGCUCUCUGUAUUUGGCCUAGUGCCCAGUCGGCCCAGCACCUAGUCAGCCAGCGACCGGACUAUAGUGAGCAGCUGGCCCGCCCAUGCCUUCCUCUCCUUUAUCUCACUGGCAGCCGGGCCCCAUGUGUUAGUGUCUUCUCCUCCACCUUUCUUUCUUCCCCAUCGC